rnacentral:rRNA from 1 species
UACGUAGGGGGCAAGCGUUGUCCGGAAUCAUUGGGCGUAAAGCGCGUGUAGGCGGCCCGGUAAGUCCGCUGUGAAAGUCGGGGGCUCAACCCUCGAAUGCCGGUGGAUACUGCAGGGCUAGAGUCCGGAAGAGGCGAGUGGAAUUCCUGGUGUAGCGGUGAAAUGCGCAGAUAUCAGGAGGAACACCGAUGGCGAAGGCAGCUCGCUGGGACGGUACUGACGCUGAGGCGCGAAAGCGUGGG